rnacentral:rRNA from 1 species
ACGGAGGGUGCGAACGUUGCUCGGAAUCAUUGGGCGUAAAGCGCGUGUAGGCGGCGCGUUUAGUCGAGUGUGAAAGCCCUGGGCUUAACCCAGGAAGUGCGCUCGAUACUGGCGCGCUAGAGUACGGGAGAGGGUAGCGGAAUUCCCGGUGUAGAGGUGAAAUUCGUAGAUAUCGGGAGGAACACCAGUGGCGAAGGCGGCUACCUGGACCGAUACUGACGCUGAGACGCGAAAGCGUGGGUAGCAAACAGGA